rnacentral:rRNA from 1 species
UACGGGGGGAGCAAGCGUUGUUCGGAUUUACUGGGCGUAAAGGGCGCGUAGGCGGCCACCGCAAGUCGACUGUGAAAUCUCCGGGCUUAACCCGGAAAGGUCAGCCGAUACUGCGGGGCUAGAGUGCAGAAGGGGCAACUGGAAUUCUCGGUGUAGCGGUGAAAUGCGUAGAUAUCAGGAGGAACACCAAUAGCGAAGGCAGCUCGCUGGGACGUUACUGACACUGAGGCGCGAAAGCGUGGGGAGCGAACAGG